rnacentral:rRNA from 1 species
ACUGGUGAGUAACACGUGGGUAACCUGCCCACAAGCGGGGGAUAACACUUGGAAACAGGUGCUAAUACCGCAUAACAACAGAAACCGCAUGGUUUCUGUUUGAAAGAUGGUUUCGGCUAUCACUUCUGGAUGGACCCGCGGCGUAUUAGCUAGUUGGUGGAGUAAUGGUUCACCAAGGCAAUGAUACGUAGCCGACCUGAGAGGGUAAUCGGCCACAUUGGGACUGAGACACGGCCCAAACUCCUACGGGAGGCAGCAGUAGGGAAUCUUCCACAAUGGACGAAAGUCUGAUGGAGCAACGCCGCGUGAGUGAAGAAGGGUUUCGGCUCGUAAAACUCUGUUGUUGAAGAAGAACACACCUGAGAGUAACUGUUCAGGUGUUGACGGUAUUUAACCAGAAAGCCACGGCUAACUACGUGCCAGCAGCCGCGGUAAUACGUAGGUGGCAAGCGUUGUCCGGAUUUAUUGGGCGUAAAGCGAGCGCAGGCGGUUUCUUAAGUCUGAUGUGAAAGCCUUCGGCUUAACCGGAGAAGUGCAUCGGAAACUGGGAGACUUGAGUGCAGAAGAGGACAGUGGAACUCCAUGUGUAGCGGUGAAAUGCGUAGAUAUAUGGAAGAACACCAGUGGCGAAGGCGGCUGUCUGGUCUGUAACUGACGCUGAGGCUCGAAAGCAUGGGUAGCGAACAGGAUUAGAUACCCUGGUAGUCCAUGCCGUAAACGAUGAAUGCUAGGUGUUGGAGGGUUUCCGCCCUUCAGUGCCGCAGCUAACGCAUUAAGCAUUCCGCCUGGGGAGUAC